rnacentral:rRNA from 1 species
AUUGAACGCUGGCGGAAGGCCUAACACCUGCAAGUCGAACGAGUGGCGGACGGGUGAGUAAUGUCUGGGAAACUGCCUGAUGGAGGGGGAUAACUAUUGGAAACGGUAGCUAAUACCGCAUACCAUCGGAUGUGCCCAGAUGGGAUUAGCUAGUAGGUGGGGUAACGGUUCACCUAGGCGACGAUCCCUAGCUGGUCUGAGAGGAUGACCAGCGAGACUGGGACGGAGACACGGGGCAGACUCCUACGGGGGGUCGAAGUGUAGAAUAUUGCACAGUAGGCGCAAGCCUGAUACAGCCAAGCCGCGUGUAUGAAGAAGGCCUUCGGGUUGUAAAGUACUUUCAGAGGGGGGGCGUUACCCGCAGAAGAAGCACCAGCUAACUCCGUGCCAGCAGCCGCGGUAAUAC